GACGGAGGAUGCAAGUGUUAUCCGGAAUCACUGGGCGUAAAGCGUCUGUAGGUGGUUUAAUAAGUCAACUGUUAAAUCUUGAGGCUCAACCUCAAAAUCGCAGUCGAAACUAUUAGGCUAGAGUAUAGUAGGGGUAAAGGGAAUUUCCAGUGGAGCGGUGAAAUGCGUAGAGAUGCGGAGGAACACCGAUGGCGAAGGCAGCCCCCUGGGCUAACACUGACGCUCAGGCACGAAAGCGUGGGGAGCAAACAGG
rnacentral:rRNA from 1 species